GCAAGUCGAACGGACUCUUCGGAGUUAGUGGCGCACGGGUGAGGAACACGUGGGAAUAUACCCUUAGGUAAGGAAUAAUAUCUGGAAACGGAUACUAAUACCUUAUAAUGACUUCGGUCCAAAGAUUUAUCGCCUAAGGAUUAGCCCGCGCUUGAUUAGAUAGUUGGUGAGGUAAUGGCUCACCAAGUCUACGAUCAUUAGCUGGUCUGAGAGUAUGAUC
rnacentral:rRNA from 1 species